rnacentral:lncRNA from 1 species
GAUCAUUUUUGAGUUGCAAUUUUUAGAAUCACGGUUGUGGGCGUUUAUUACGAUCAAUGUACGACCUAUUAGACUUUGAAUGAGAAAAGAAGGCUCCUCUGGUAUCUCAACUAUUGAUAGUUUAAAUGCAUAUAUUUCCUUAGAUUGGACGAUUACCCUUUAAAGUACAAAUUUAACAAUUUUGUCGAGCGUACAGUUUCGUAUAGCAGGAGCUCCUCCAGUUUUAAGGCUGAGGCCGAAUCGUCUUUGUUCAGAGUUUUUAUAUCAUUAAGCAUUUUUCUCAUAUAUCUCUAUUUUUCUCUGACUUUUUGAAUUAAGAUCCUGCCUUGCCUGAAA